UACGUAGGGGUGCGAGCGUUGUCCGGAAUUAUUGGGCGUAAAGAGCUCGUAGGCGGUCUGUCGCGUCGGAUGUGAAACCCCGGGGCUUAACCCUGGGCCUGCAUUCGAUACGGGCAGACUAGAGUUCGGUAGGGGAGACGUGGAAUUCCUGGUGUAGCGGUGAAAUGCGCAGAUAUCAGGAGGAACACCGGUGGCGAAGGCGGGUCUCUAGGCCGAUACUGACGUGAGGAGCGAAGCGUGGGGAGCGAACAGG
rnacentral:rRNA from 1 species